GGUGGCUCAGUGUUAGAGUGCUUGCCUUGCAUGCAUGAGGCCCUGGGUUCGAUUCCUCAGCACCA
rfam:Dipodomys ordii contig_33431, whole genome shotgun sequence.